rnacentral:lncRNA from 1 species
AGAUUCCGUCCUUAGCAUCAGGAAAGAAAAGACCCGGCUUGUGAGCUCCUUGUCCCACCUUCUUUCACUCCAGACGUCCAUCUCCAUCUUUCUCCAUCAGGGACUUUCUGGGCAGGACACUUCCUUGAUCACAUCCCCAGUUUUCCACCCAGGACUUUGUGAAAACUCCUCCAGGCCUGGCUCUUGUGUGCUGGACCUUCUCUUGCGUGGUUAGUUGUAAAACUUGAUGCUUCUGCAGGCAGAUGAUGGCAGAAAGCUCCCACCCCACCACGCUGAUGACGGCAGAAAGCUCCCGCCCCACCACGCUGAUGACGGCAGAAAGCUCCCGCCCCACCACGCUGAUGAUGGCACUCUCGUUGGGUGGUUGUGUGGUCUUCAUACAAUUUCAGGGUAAAUCGCCACUUGAUGUCAUUGCUAAAUGGGAUACCUGAGCUAUGAUGAUUUUGCCUGAUUGUUAAAGUUAGUAUUUUAAGACCAAAGAUGGACAAAAUACGUUAAAAUUGUCUGUAAAAAGGCACAUUUCUGAAUUUGCUUUUAAUACUUUAAAAG